AGGCGGAGWGCUUAAHGCGUUAGUGACAGCACUAAGGGGCGGAAACCCCCUAACACUUAGCACUCAUCGUUUACGGCGUGGACUACCAGGGUAUCUAAUCCUGUUUGAUCCCCACGCUUUCGCACAUCAGCGUCARUUACAGACCAGAAAGUCGCCUUCGCCACUGGUGUUCCUCCAUAUCUCUGCGCAUUUCACCGCUACACAUGGAAUUCCACUUUCCUCUUCUGCACUCAAGUUUUCCAGUUUCCAAUGACCCUCCACGGUUGAGCCGUGGGCUUUCACAUCAGACUUAAAAAACCGCCUACGGCGCUUUAGCGCCCAAUAAUUCCGGAUAACGCUUGCCACCUAGCGUAUUACCGGGCUGCUGGCACGUAGUUAGCCGUGGCUUUCUGAUUAGGUACCGUCAAGACGUGCAUAGUUACUUACACAUUUKUUCUUCCCUAAUAACAGAGUUUUACGAUCCGAAGACCUUCAUCACUCACGCGGCGUUKCUCCGUCAGGCUUUCGCCCAUUGCGGAAGAUUCCCUACUKCUGCCUCCCGUAGRGUUCUGGACCGUGUC
rnacentral:rRNA from 1 species